AAUGACCGGGGGUAGUUGAGAGGACGUUAAUGCAUUUGGGGAAUAGGGAGGGCCAGAAGAGAAUCGGGGCUACUAGGCGAGACCAUCAGACUCUGAAAAACGGCAAACCCUCUGCUCGUCGGAGGGAGGAAGGAAGGGAGAGAGGGAGGAAGGAAGGAAAAGAAGGGAAGAAAUGGAAGGAGAAGUGAAAUCUAAAAGACGCAACUGCAGGAAGACUAGACUAGAGGAGAAUGACACUGCCGCAGCGAGGUGGGUGUGGGAUUGGGUUUACAUCAAGUGGGAUUUCCCCAGGAUCCUAAUUCUCUGUCAUCUCUUUUUUUGGGGGGGAGGGUUGGGAGGAAGGGAAGAGGAGAAGUCUCUGCCUCCCAGGCCGCGCCUCCACCACUCCAUCUUUCUCAGGAGGCAGGAACUUGGAGAGAUGCGGCGGGUAGGGGAAUGAGGCAGGGGGAGACGCCCCCGGAGAAGCGGGAUGCGAACGAGCCACCUUCUCUGCUUCCAGACUUGACCUUGUAGUGCACAAACAAUGCACUUCAGGCGCUGGCUGUUUUCUAGAAGAGCUCCCCGGGCUGUUCGCCUGCCAGUCUGUUUGCGGAUGAAAGCCGUGGCGCUUCCAGUAUCUGCCUAGCCACACCCACCCUUGCCGGCCUGCGAGCCUGCCUUCCCUCUGGAAGAACAGUUAUUAAUGGGGGCCGCUGGGCCCCACAACCUGUUCCUGCGUCCCACUCCCACCCCUUCCAUCCCAGCUCACACCCACUGCGUGGAGAUGGGAAUGCUUCCCCGCCCCCAGCGCGGAGGCUCCGAGCCUCUCCGGACACCAAAACACAACUUUCUUUGCUUCCCCUUUUGGCUACACCUCAAGAUGAUCCAGUAAUUGGAAAAGAACUCCCUUCCCUUGGAGGACGCGAGGAAAGAUUUGUGAACUGCGAUGGGAAGGGCAGUCUCUUAGACUGAAAGUUGUUUAUGUCUUAAACCUCCUUCCUGAGGAUAAAUGUUCAAUUUACAUAAGAUGACAUUUAUGUGACAAUUAGGAAGAUUCUCUGAUGGAAUGUUGUGAACACAUUUGCUUAUAGAAGAAAUAAAUCCAAUGAUAAACAAACUGAUAAUAACAGCACAGAGCCUCUAACAGGGCAAGUUGUCGACACAACAAAGGCCAAAAUGACUGAUGCUAAAAAAAAAAAAAAAAAAAAAAAAAGCAAAUUUU